GGGUAUCAGGAUCUCGAGACAGGGAAGUAAAGACCUGUUUUCAUGUGGUUUUUGUUCGAAUUAUUUAACACUGCGCACUCGACACAAGAGGGACCACAGUCAGCUUCUGCAAGCACGUUUGAGGUCCUCUCAGGUACGGACCUUUCAGCGAUUCUCCUCCUACCCAAGCCUGUUCUCAUAGACAAAUGUAUCGAAGCAGGGCUAAGCACCAGCAGCACUAAUGACAGGAUGAUACCGUUCACAUGCCACUGGACAGAACGUACGUCUUUUUGUGACAAUCAACAUGCACAAGUGUCACAAAGAGGCAUGUGCCUUACAUGUUCAACAAAUCAGGGGACAGAACGAGGUCAUUUGUGAUGAUGGUUCGGUGGGACGGUGUUAAGCAGUGAAGAUAUGUUUCGGUAUUGUUGCCUGUGCAGUCGGCCCAGGAGGCACGGUCUCCCUGCGAUAGUCAUGACGUUGCCUGCCUAAGUGUGGCCGGCUACAGCACGCAGAUACAUCGUCACCACCACAACCUGUUUUGAAAGUGAAGCGUCCGUCAACUUCAUAAUCCACUAUCUACAAGGCUCAGAGACGUGAUGGUGCUUGAAAGGGAAUGUUCCGUAUAAAGCGAGGGCUCAACUGCAUUGCAUGCAUGGAAAAUGCGUAACCCGUUCGCGAACUAGGGCGACGUCAUCCCAGCAACACCGCUCUGCCGGUUGGGCUCGUGUUUCUCUUGUGUCCCCUUCUUCGUUUGGGGUGUCCUCGUACUAAAGUUCGGUGGCCAUGGCAACAAGAUGAAUAGCUGCAAGGGUACCUCAUGAGGCCUUGACCCCCACUUUACUUCACACAGUACAUCUCUAGCCCACCACUGAUACCGUUGCCCUAAAGUGCUACACAGCAGAGUUGCGGAAUUAGAGUGGAGGGCUAUGCUCAAUUCCCAUGCCUGGAACAGCUUGGCAGCGCCCAUUCCGAAUUCGGGAACAAACAAACAAGACAAUAUGAAUGAAAUAGUGUAGAAGCGGACUUCGGCAUGAAUUCGAUGUCCAUAAGCCAGUAAAGCGAGAAGAGGGUCCACACAGGCUCCUUCAAGCUGGACAUCCCAAUGGUCUCCUUCUCCAGGCAUAACAGCGCUCGCCCCGGAUGGAAUACUUCCCGGGAAAAGCACACCACGUGACAGACAUGUUCGUUCUCCACCUAGAAAGAUACCAGAAUACAUAGACAAAAUCUUCCAAGUAUAUUCAGCAGGACGUUAUCUUCGCGGUCGCUCUAGAGACACCAAUAAUAAAGUACGAAAAA